UCGGGAAUUUUGGGCAAUGGGCGCAAGCCUGAUCCAGCCAUGCCGCGUGCAGGAUGACGGUCCUAUGGAUUGUAAACUGCUUUUUGUACAGGAAGAAACAGUUCUACGUGUAGAACCUUGACGGUACUGUAAGAAUAAGGAUCGGCUAACUCCGUGCCAGCAGCCGCGGUAAUACGGAGGAUCCAAGCGUUAUCCGGAAUCAUUGGGUUUAAAGGGUCCGUAGGCGGUUAGAUAAGUCAGUGGUGAAAGCCCAUCGCUCAACGGUGGAACGGCCAUUGAUACUGUCUGACUUGAAUUAUUAGGAAGUAACUAGAAUAUGUAGUGUAGCGGUGAAAUGCUUAGAGAUUACAUGGAAUACCAAUUGCGAAGGCAGGUUACUACUAAUGGAUUGACGCUGAUGGACGAAAGCGUGGGUAGCGAACAGGAUUAGAUACCCUAGUAGUCCCUGAGCGGGCUGGCAAGGCGCAU
rnacentral:rRNA from 1 species